GGGCGCGUGGUGAAAUUGGCAUACACGCAGGAUUUAGGUUCCUGUACCGGAAGGUUUGCGGGUUCGACCCCCGCCGCGCCCA
rnacentral:tRNA from 1 species